GAUGAACGCUAGCGGCAGGCUUAACACAUGCAAGUCGAGGGGCAGCACGGGUAGCAAUACCUGGUGGCGACCGGCAAACGGGUGCGGAACACGUACGCAAUCUACCUUUAUCUGGGGCAUAGCCCGAAGAAAUUCGGAUUAACACCCCAUAAAAUAUAUGAGUGGCAUCACUUGAAUAUUAAAACUCCGGUGGAUAAAGAUGAGCGUGCGUCCCAUUAGCUAGUUGGUAGGGUAACGGCCUACCAAGGCGACGAUGGGUAGCUGGUGUGAGAGCACGACCAGCCACACGGGCACUGAGACACGGGCCCGACUCCUACGGGAGGCAGCAGUGAGGAAUAUUGGUCAAUGGACGCAAGUCUGAACCAGCCAUGCCGCGUGGAGGAUGAAGGCCUUCUGGGUUGUAAACUUCUUUUAUCAGGGAAGAAACCUCCGAUUUCUAUUGGAGCCGACGGUACCUGAGGAAUAAGCACCGGCUAACUCCGUGCCAGCAGCCGCCGU
rnacentral:rRNA from 1 species